AUACGUAGGGUGCAAGCGUUAAUCGGAAUUACUGGGCGUAAAGCGUGCGCAGGCGGUUUUGGAAGGCAGAGGUGAAAUCCCCGGGGUCAACCUGGGAAAUGCCUUUGUGACUGCAAGGCUAGCGUACGGCAGAGGGGGAUGGAAUUUCGCGUGUAGCAGUGAAAUGCGUAGAUAUGCGGAGUAACACCGAUGGCGAAGGCAAUCCCCUGGGCCUGUACUGACGCUCAGGCACGAAAGCGUGGGGAGCAUACAUGAUUAGAUACCCUGUUAGUCCACGCCCUAAACGAUGUCAACUGGUUGUUGGGUCUUCAUUGACUCAGUAACGAAGCUAACGCGUGAAGUUGACCGCCUGGGGAGUACGGCCGCAAGGUUGAAACUCAAAUGAAUUGACGGGG
rnacentral:rRNA from 1 species